rnacentral:lncRNA from 1 species
AGAGUCCUGUUUCCUGUAGAAAAAAGUAUGAGAGUCUGACGGUAUUUUCAGUCCCUGAGGCCAUCCUCAUCCUGGGCCGCCCCAAGGAAUUCCCAUUUUUGCUUAAAAGUCUUUGAAGGUUCGGUGUCACUUGUGUCAUUUGCAGCAACAACAAGAUCCUGUCUGCUGAAUUCCCCCACCCCAACCCCCCGCCUUCUGGGUUUCCAUCCGCCUGGCCCCCCUCGUGAGUGGCCUUGGCCCUGGGGGGCACUGGCCCUCCACGAAGCUGUGGGUUCCCCCAUGUGUCCUCCCAGCUCCCCAGCUUUUGUCACCUCAUUAACUCAUUGUCUCUGGGCCCCAGUACCUCAAUCCACAGGCAGCAAGCUGAAGGGUUCUGUUGUCACCUUCAGCGGGGGCUGGGGCAGGGUGGCACACCUUGGCGUCCUGGUGAGCAGAGAGGCUGUAACAUCUCUGACUAAAUCCCCGAGGUAUUGGCCCAGUCUUUCCUCCAAAUGGCUCACACCCAACUGACAAGUACAUUUUUCCCAAGUAAAAUAGCUGGAUUUCAGAUACACAGGUGCUUUGAACAGGGACUUAAAGUCUGGGGGCUCCGCUUCCUUUAGCCUGGCAUGAAUCGAGAAGAGAAUUCUGGAUUUGUGUCAGGAGGGAAUUGGCAAAUCCCAAGAAAGGCAGGUGUAGAAGAGCGCCAGCCUGUGCUUCAGGAAGUAGGGCUAACUCUUUACUUUUUAAUAUUGGAGUUUCCGUUGUGGCUCAGUGGUAAUGAACCCCACUAGUAUCCAUCAGGAUGCGGGUUUGAUUCCUGGCCUCACUCAGUGGGUUAAGGAUCUGGUGUGGCUGUGGCUGUGGUGGAGGCCAGCAGCUGCAGCUCCUAUUUCACCCCUAGCCUGGAAACCUCCAUAUGCCACGUGUGCAGCUCUAAAAAAGCAAUACAUAAAUAAAAUGUUUGUUCUUCUUAAUCAUAGGUUAAUGAAAUGAUUGCUCAAUGAAACUUGGCUUCUGGUUAUCUGAGUGGGGAUUAUGUAAUUUGAGGAACAGCACCCCCCUCCCAGUGGCCCCAUCUCCAAACUGCUGGGGAUCUUACAUGGUGACCAUAUAAGCAAGUGGCAUCGUUUGUUUGACAUUCAGCAACGAUGGGUCUGCGGCCUCCCAGGCGCUGUGCUGGGCUCUACAGGCACACAGAUCUAAGAGACAGGGUCCUUAUGGUCACAGAAUGCUACAUCUAGUGGGGGAAAUGAAUGGAAAAAUCUGUGGCAGGCAUGCUGUGACAAGGGUUUUCUGGUAGCAUAGAGUAGGUGGGUUCCUCUUGGAGGAGAAUGAUUGCUUUGACGUUUAGAAGGACGAAUAGGAGUUAGGUAGGGGGAUUUAGUGGGUAAAGGUGUUCUAGACAAGUAGACAAAGAGGUGCUUGAUGAGAAGCUUAAGUUAGGGCUGCAGGGCUGGUUGAGCACUUGUGACCUUUCAAAAAGGGUGGGCAGAGAUGGGGUGAGAGCAGGGCUGAAAUCCUGCGUGGGCUUGGCUCCUCGGAGCACCUGUAGUAGGAAGUGCCUUUGUCUAAUUUGCACAAGGUGCCACGUGGGCUGGAGGUAGACCUGCCUGAAGGUAUUUUUUUUUUUCUCCCUCUUCUUAGGGCCCCAUCUGCAGCAUAUGGAGGUUCCAGCCUAAGCCACAGCCACAGCAAUGCCAAGUCUGAGCCUCAUCUGUGACCUGCACCACAGCUCAUGGCAACGCUGAAUCCUUAACCCACUGAAUGAGGCCAGGAAUUGAACCCACAUACUUCUCAAUACUGGUCGGGUUCUGAACCCACUGAGCCAUGAUGGGAACUCGUAUUUGGUAUUUUUUGAUUGGAAAGUGUAUGUGAGGAUGCUCAUAAGAUUGAACAGGACCCUGAAGGUGAUAGGGAGUUACUGAGGAAUUUAAAAGGCAGAUCAGGAGUGAAUGAAAUAAUGCCAUUUGUCCAUCAUGGAUGGACCUGGAGAUUAUCAUACUAAGCGAAGUAUGUCAGAGAAAGACAAAUACCAUAUAUCACUUAUAUGUGG